AGUGAACGCUGGCGGUAGGCCUAACACAUGCAAGCCGAACGGCAGCACAGUAAGAGCUUGCUCUUACGGGUGGCGAGUGGCGGACGGGUGAGGAAUACAUCGGAAUCUACUUUUUCGUGGGGGAUAACGUAGGGAAACUUACGCUAAUACCGCAUACGACCUACGGGUGAAAGCAGGGGAUCUUCGGACCUUGCGCGAUUGAAUGAGCCGAUGUCGGUUUAGCUAGUUGGCGGGGUAAAGGCCCACCAAGGCGACGAUCCGUAGCUGGUCUGAGAGGAUGAUCAGCCACACUGGAACUGAGACACGGUCCAGACUCCUACGGGAGGCAGCAGUGGGGAAUAUUGGACAAUGGGCGCAAGCCUGAUCCAGCCAUACCGCGUGGGUGAAGAAGGCCUUCGGGUUGUAAAGCCCUUUUGUUGGGAAAGAAAAGCAGCAGGUUAAUACCCCGCUGUUCUGACGGUACCCAAAGAAUAAGCACCGGCUAACUUCGUG
rnacentral:rRNA from 1 species